GACGUAGGGAGCAAGCGUUGUCCGGAAUUACUGGGCGUAAAGAGCUCGUAGGCGGGAUCGUAAGUCUUAGAGUAAAUCUCACGGCUCAACCGUGGGGCCUUCUGAGAUACUGCGAUUCUUGAGGAUGUCAGAGGAAAGUGGAAUUCCCGGUGUAGCGGUGAAAUGCGUAGAUAUAGGAAGGAACACCAGUGGCGAAGGCGGCAUCCUGGACCGGUAUUGACGCUGAGGCGCGAAAGCCAGGGGAGCAAACGGGAUUAGAAACCCUGGUAGU
rnacentral:rRNA from 1 species